AUUAAAUAAGACAAAAUUUAAAUUUGACUUAAGAUUUGUCAAUUCCAGUGCGCUGUGACUUGUUGUUGUAGUUGUUUAAUGUUUAUAUUUAAGAACUUAUGCAAACCUAAACCUGAAAUAUAUAUCUAACAUAUAAAAAGUACCAAAAUAAAUAAACUAAAUGCUACAAAACGUGUAACUAAAAAAUAUAAAUAUGUCGGACGAUUUUAUUCCUUUAAAUCAAAGCACUCCAGUUCAAAACAAAUGGCAAGAUAGGAAUCAACAGCAUAGUGGUUAUCAAAAUAAUUGGCAACAAAAGAAUCAUAGACGUCGCGGUCACAAUCAAAAACAAUGGUCACAUAAUUCUCAACACAGUAGUAGUUUUGGGAGUGACUGCAAUGGCAGCUAUGGUAGAGAAAACAAAACUAGCAUUGAUGCCUAUUUACAUCCUUCUAUGUUAAAAGAUCCUUGGGCGCACUUGAGACAGAGGACGCAGUGACAGGAAGAAUGAUAUGUUGAUAUUCUCUAACAUAAUAUCAAUCAUCAACUGAUUGAUUUAAGUGUAAUUGAUAUUGUAAUUAUUGUUGUAAAAUAAAAUUGAGUCCAAAUGUAAA